rnacentral:rRNA from 1 species
GACGAACGCUGUCGGCGUGCUUAACACAUGCAAGUCGAACGGAAAGGCCCUGCUUUUGUGGGGUGCUCGAGUGGCGAAUGGGUGAGUAACACGUGAGUAACCUGCCCUUGACUUUGGGAUAACUUCAGGAAACUGGGGCUAAUACCGGAUAGGAGCUCCUGCUGCAUGGUGGGGGUUGGAAAGUUUCGGCGGUUGGGGAUGGACUCGCGGCUUAUCAGCUUGUUGGUGGGGUAGUGGCUUACCAAGGCUUUGACGGGUAGCCGGCCUGAGAGGGUGACCGGCCACAUUGGGACUGAGAUACGGCCCAGACUCCUACGGGAGGCAGCAGUGGGGAAUAUUGCACAAUGGGCGGAAGCCUGAUGCAGCAACGCCGCGUGCGGGAUGACGGCCUUCGGGUUGUAAACCGCUUUCGCCUGUGACGAAGCGUGAGUGACGGUAAUGGGUAAAGAAGCACCGGCUAACUACGUGCCAGCAGCCGCGGUGAUACGUAGGGUGCGAGCGUUGUCCGGAUUUAUUGGGCGUAAAGGGCUCGUAGGUGGUUGAUCGCGUCGGAAGUGUAAUCUUGGGGCUUAACCCUGAGCGUGCUUUCGAUACGGGUUGACUUGAGGAAGGUAGGGGAGAAUGGAAUUCCUGGUGGAGCGGUGGAAUGCGCAGAUAUCAGGAGGAACACCAGUGGCGAAGGCGGUUCUCUGGGCCUUUCCUGACGCUGAGGAGCGAAAGCGUGGGGAGCGAACAGGCUUAGAUACCCUGGUAGUCCACGCUGUAAACGGUGGGUACUAGGUGUGGGGUCCAUUCCACGGGUUCCGUGCCGUAGCUAACGCUUUAAGUACCCCGCCUGGGGAGUACGGCCGCAAGGCUAAAACUCAAAGGAAUUGACGGGGCCCCGCACAAGCGGCGGAGCAUGCGGAUUAAUUCGAUGCAACGCGUAGAACCUUACCUGGGUUUGACAUGGAUCGGGAGUGCUCAGAGAUGGGUGUGCCUCUUUUGGGGUCGGUUCACAGGUGGUGCAUGCCUGUCGUCAGCUCGUGUCGUGAGAUGUUGGGUUAAGUCCCGCAACGAGCGCAACCCUUGUUCACUGUUGCCAGCACGUUAUGGUGGGGACUCAGUGGAGACCGCCGGGGUCAACUCGGAGGAAGGUGGGGAUGACGUCAAGUCCUCAUGCCCCUUAUGUCCAGGGCUUCACGCAUGCUACAAUGGCUGGUACAGAGAGUGGCGAGCCUGUGAGGGUGAGCGAAUCUCGGAAAGCCGGUCUCAGUUCGGAUUGGGGUCUGCAACUCGACCUCAUGAAGUCGGAGUCGCUAGUAAUCGCAGAUCAGCAACGCUGCGGUGAAUACGUUCCCGGG